AUUGAACGCUGGCGGCAGGCUUAACACAUGCAAGUCGAACGAGUGGCGGACGGGUGAGUAAUGCUUGGGAAUCUGGCUUAUGGAGGGGGAUAACUACGGGAAACUGUAGCUAAUACCGCGUACCAUAGGAUGAGCCCAAGUGGGAUUAGGUAGUUGGUGAGGUAAAGGCUCACCAAGCCGACGAUCUCUAGCUGGUCUGAGAGGAUGACCAGCCACACGGGUACUGAGACACGGCCAGGACUCCUACGGGAGGCAGCAGGGGGGAAUAUGGCACAAUGGGUGCAAGAUGACGGAGCCAGGGCGCGUGAAUGAAGAAGGCCUUCGGGUUGUAAAGUUCUUUCGGUAGGGAGGCGUUAACUACAGAAGAAGCACCGGCUAACUCCGUGCCAGCAGCCGCGGAAAUAC
rnacentral:rRNA from 1 species